GUCGGCCGGAGGCGGGACAGAGGCAGGUCGGCCUGUCCGCCUGGACGCGGACCUGGGCGCCGUAGGUGCCCUGGGAAGCGCAGGGGUGGGGGGUACCCGGCAGGAAGGUGGCCAGGGGUGCUGCGGGUGCCGGCGCAGCGAGGGAGGGCACCGUGGGAGGCAAGGGCCGUUCCCCGCGCCGCGCACAAUGCGCCGGUCCUGCGGCCCUCCCCGAGCAGGAGUCCGGGGACCCAGGCCCCAAGGCUGGGAGAGCGCCAGGCCCCUGGCCGGCUGCGCUCCGAUGAUCUCCAGGACUUAAGGGGUGUGAAGGGCGCUGGCGCAGCCUCUUUGCUUAACACUGGCUCUGAGGAUCCCCCGCCGAGAAACCGAGGCAGGCUUGCGGCUCUGGGCUCGUCAGCCUUGGCAGUGGCGUCUGGCCUGGAGUCUGGGGCAGCUGGUUUGGGAAAGGCUGCACCACGCAACCGAGGGUGGGACCCAGAGUCCCUGCUCCUUCCCCACCGCACCCAGCCCACCCCGCCCUCCCUCCCUGAUCCCUGCAAGCCAGGUGAGGCCCAGGGGGGACGUGACUCCCUUUCUGCAGAGGCACCUCCGGAAGGGCCUGGGUGAGGCUGCUAGACAGGGCAGCGGGGCACCCUCCUCCCGGAGCCCCCGCCUCUGGGCUGAGGCUCGGAUCCCCACCGCCUCCUGCGCAUGGAGGAGGCGAGAAGCGCAGGGAGACGGGGGCCCCAGACGGCACCCCGCAGGCUGCCAUUCCUUCAACCAAGAUGUAGAGAACGCCGUGGACAAAAGCUUUAAAAAAAUUCUGAAACCUCUGCCCGUGGGAAGUCAACAUUUUUGCGGAGCAGAGAGCCCAGGCACAAAAUAAGAAGGCGGAAGAGACGGGCUGGGGGGAUAGGGGGGACGGCGGCGGGGAAGGGCAGGGAGGGCGGCGGCGAAGGCGCAGGAAGCCCUGAAGCCGGGCGGCUUCCCCCUCCCAGGCCACGCUGAGAGACGGGGGUUGGGGGGAUUUAAAAUCGCGCGCCUGGCAGGGGCGGGGCGGGGGCCACCUGCCCUCCGGCGGGAAGAGCUGGGCAGGGCCCGCGGAGUGCAGGGCGGAGGCACUGGCGGUCCGCACCCGGGUGAGGUGAGGCGCGUAACCGCAUCUGAGCCGGACUCUUUAGGACGAGUCCCGUCCCUGGAGUCAGAAAACCCGGUCCAGCGCCAGCGUGGACGUGCGCUUCCCGGGACACGCCCAGGGACGCCGGCUAGGACCGGCGAGGCUGGAGGGGUGGCGAUGUUGGGGGCUGAGGUUCCUCGCCCCGGGGCGGGCGGCUGCUGGUAAGGGACCGCAUGGCCCCGCAGGUGAGGAGGGCGCAGGUGAGGAGGGCGCAGGUGAGCCGGGCGGGCUGCGGGCAGCGCCACCUCCUCCCGGAGGCCCUCCCUGAUUGACCGGCCGGGAACCGCGCGCCUCUGGGCCUGCGGCUGAGGUCCGGGGCUGCGCCGCGCCGAUGAGCUGACGCCGGGCCGAGCGCUCCACCCCCAGGGCCGGGCGCACCUGAAUCCCCUCCACCCGCGGGACUGCGGAGAGGGGGACGGCCCCCGGAUACCGCGUGGGGGCUUUGGGAGGAUGGGGAAUGGGUCCUGGGGGAGCAGAGCCUCCCAAAUUAAGGCCUCCCAAGAGCGCGGCCGGUCAUCCGCGGCGGCGAAGGGAAGGUGCCCUGUCGGUGCGUCCGGACCCCGCAGCCCCCCAGUGCCGCCCGGGGGCGGUGGGAGAGGGGCCGACACCGCAGGGCCCGCCGUGCUGUGGCCGAGGGGGCAGGUCCAGGCUCUGCUUCCCGGGCAGACGCCGGAGACCCCAGCAAGCCAAGCAGGGGCAGGAAGGCAGCUGGGCCAGAAGGGGACACUGAGGCAGGCCGAGGCGGCCGCGGGGGAGGGUGCCAGGACCAGCCCAGGAACCUCGGAGACCACGGUAAGCGGUGGCUGGUUCAGAUCCCAACUCCGGAGCUGUGUGACCCCAGAAAGUUCCUUAGCCCCUUGGUGCCUGCAUCCCCUGACGUGUGACAUAUACAUGAAUGGGGCUGUUGUAAGUGAACGCACACAGCACACCGGCACAUGUGUCACAACACUUAGAUGGGUUUAGAUGAAGAAACAGGGAAACCUUUGGGAAGUUUCCUGUAGUCAAAGGAAGGUUUUCGUUUUCCCCCUCAACCGUGACUGUUUCUUGGGCCGGCAGGAUAGGCUUUUGUUCUAGGGGUGUGGAGAGAGGGCCCCUUGGCAGCGUCCAGGGCCAACUGGGAACCAAGCAGGAAUCGUAUUUGUGCAGCCUGGAGUUCGAGGCUCUGGGUGCGAGUCGUAGUGCUUAAGCAGGAAGCAGCUGCCUGAUGCCCCUAGCCCCAGGCCGCCCUGCUCUGCCGUUUCGAGGGCGUGGGGGUCUUCUGAUCUCCACCUUGAUGCACCUCCAGGCCCGGGUCCUUUUGGGGUCUGGCACAGCAACCUGCGUUUGACAGCAUGGGCGUCCGCUGAUGCUGAGAGCUCAACUUCUGGUCCAAGGAAGAUCUUUUCUCUUCGGGGAACAGUCAUACAUUGUUUAACGAAAAGGAUACAUUCCUUCUGAGAAAUGCGUCCUUAGGUGAUUUUGUCCUUGUGUGAACACAGAGUGCACACACUGGCCCUGGUGGCACAGCCUGCUACACGCCGAGGCUGUGUGUCACAGCCUGCUGCUCCAGGGCCACGAGCCUACGCGGCAGGUGACUGUGCUGAAUAGCGUAGGCAGCUGUGACUCACUGGUAUUUGUGUAUCUAAAGCCAUCUAAACAUAGAACAGGUGCAGUAAAAAUACCGCGCUGUGAUAUGGGAGCACUGUGGCAUUGCUUGUUGACCGAAGGUUAUGUGGUGCAUGACUGUAUGUUCGUUUCCUGUGGGCGCUGGAACUAACGACCUCACGCUUGCUGGCUCAAAACAACAGCAGUCUAUUCUCUCUCAGCCCUGGAGAGCGGAAGCCUGCCUGGUGGAGGCGCUAGGGGAGUAUCCUACCUGCCUCUCCCAGCUCUGGGUGGCCCAGGCAUCCCUGUGCUUAGCUCCAGCAGCCGCCUCAGUGGCCAUGUGGCUUCUCUGUGUGGUCAAGCCUCACUUUGCCCCUCUCUUAUGAGGACCUUUGGGAUGACACGUAGAACCCACCUGGAUGAUCCAGGGAGGCCUUCCACCUCAAUUUAAUCCCGUCAGCAAAGUCCUUCCUUUGCCACAUGAGGUAACAUUCACAGGAUCCGGGAAUGGGGACAUGGGCAUCCUUUGGAGGGUGGUUCAGCUGAGCAUGGGAUCAUGAUACAGGUCCUGUGUAUAAAAUUCAAAUACUUGGCAGGUCGGGCACAGUGGCUCACACCUGUAAUUCCAACACUUAGGGAGGCCAAGGUGGGAGGAUCACUUGAGCCCAGGAGUUUGAGACCAGCCUGGGCAACAGAGCAAGACCCCAUCUCUACAAAUAAUUUUUAAAAAUUAGCAGCGCAUGGUAGCAUGCACCUGUAGUCCCAGCUACUCCAGAGGCUGAGGCUGGAGGAUCUCUUGAGCCCAGGAGACGGAGGCUGCAGUGAGCUAUGGUUGUGCCACUGCACUCCAGCCUGGGGGACUAGCUAGACCCUGUCUCAAAAAAUAAAAAUUUAAAAUAAAAUACAUAGAGAAUCUCAAGGUGGUGUGGACAGUUCUGAGUGUUGGGGAGAGAACAAAAGAAGGAAAGUGCAUUUUGGGUGGCAGAAAGCCCCUAACAGAGCCUUGGGCCCCUGCUUUGAAGCAGCCCUCACAGAAACUGACCACGAGUUAUGUUGGGCCCAUGACACUGGUUCCCUGGGUGGACACAGCCUGAGCCCAGCCCGCCCUGUCUGGAGCUCUCACCACCCUGCCUGGCCCGUGCCCAUGGGCUCACAAUGGCUUCAACCCCAUUUAUGUGUCAGCUCAAGCAGGCCUCCCCAGAGGGCUCAUUUGCACUUGGAUGCCCUCACCUGUGCUCCCUCUGUGGCUUCAGGAACCCCGGGGUCAUUACAGAGCUUGCUAAAUUCAUCCCUGGACGUGAGAUGUGUGUCGUAAGCAUCCAGGACUGUCCCAAGAUGGGAGAGGCGUUCAGUCAUGUUCACUCAAGUGAAGGCUUCUAUUCUACUUCCAGAUACACCUUUUUAACCUUCAAAGGGUCCAAUUUUAACCUUUCUUCCACAAAGCAUUUUACGUACCACUAAUAGUCCCAGUGCAGACCCCAAAGUUCCCCUGUAAGAUUCAUUUCCUGUGAUUCGAGCACAGCCUGAGGCAGAGCUUUCUGCUGGGUUUAUCCUCACUGAGACUCAGACUGCAGAGGGCCAGGAGGAGCCCUGCUUUUUGCAAGCAAUACCACCUGGGGUAGGACCCACAAGUGACAUCCUUUGUGCGUGGAUCUGGCCUUGGCCUCCGCACCGUCUGUUCAGCAAGUCCCUCCUUUGCCUGCCAAGGCUGAGGUCCUGUACUUUUGUGUGUGGAUCUGGCCUUGGCCUCCGCACCGUCUGUUCAGCAGGUCCCUCCUUUGUCUGCCAAGGCUGAGGUCCUGUACUUUUGCAAAGGUCCAGGCUGUUUGGUGCAGCUACAAUCAGGGUGCGUGGUUUCUCUAUGAACGCAAACAGCGGUCUCAAGGGGAAGGCCCCGGCAGAAAGUGCAUCAUGCGGGACACGGUGCAGGCGCUCCGAAGACGCCUCCUGCUCACUUCUGGCCUCCACCCCCUGCCCUGCAGGGUGACAGAUGGCUGUGCCUACACAUAAAACACCAGACGUGACCAAUAACUAUCUUAUAAUAAAUAUACUCGAACUUCUCAACUAGAACACAGAAAUGCUUUCAGGAAGUACAUCGCGCACCACCACGUGUGGUCCUGUGUGCAGCGGCGUGGGCCUCGCCCCGUCCCAUGAGCCAGCGUGAUGGGGGAGAGACCCUGAGUCUCCAGAACCCAACGGAACGUGGGUCUGCAGUGACGACGGAGACGCAAAAAAACAAGAAUCCGAAGAGGAAAGAGACAACGUGAGGAAAGUUGCCUUUGUUCUAGGAAAAGUCUUUUUCUUCACAGUAUAGUGACUCAUUUAUAAAGAGGAAGUGAGUUCUGUUGAAAAAUACUUGAAAUAUUCUCUUAGGGGGAGAAAGCAGUUCUUCACCAGCUUGGUGGGCCACUUGGCCGCGAGCUUCGAGCUCUGCUUGUUCUGGGCCAGCAGGGACAAUUCUUCUUCCGAAACCAGAGCCCAGUGCCUGCUGCUGAGAGGAGGGGAGGGAAGGUUGUGAGCAAGCGCAGCGCCCACUGGGUGGCCCCGGAGAUGGGGCUGGGAAGGAAUCGCUGCGAGGGGGCGAGGGGAACAGCCUGCCUCUCAGUUGUCCCAGGUGCCUAAGACCCCCCCCCCGGAACCCCCGCCUGAUUCUGGGAGUUUUUCUCAUGGAGGUGGAGUGAGCAACAGGGGACCAGAUGACUCCCUUGCCUCCCGCCUCCCCCGGCCGGGGGCUGGUCCCCUGGGAAGCAGGCUGGGGGUCACUCCGUGUGAACAGCGAGCUCCAGGGCCAUCGCUAGAGGAUGUCACCAUCCCUGGGCAGCACCCCCGCAGAGGAAAGGACAGGACUCUGGGCAAAAGUUGGCCAAACCCUCGCAGAGUCAGCGAGCAUUCCCAGGGAAUUCUAUCACAAAGGCCGUCCCCUGGGUUCCUGGGGCUGCCUGUGCCGGGAGCCCCAGCCCUGGGUGCAGGAGGGCAGGUGGUGAGAGGAAAGGUCCCCUGCCAGCCUGCUGUGAGGAGCCCUUGAGGAAGACGGGCUUUGCAGACUUGGCACCAACACCCCCUCUCCUGCUCCCAGCCACCCCACUGGAGGCCAGGAACAUUUCUCAGUUUAUUUUGGGGUGAAGACUGCGAGUGAAGUGCCAGAUACAGUGUCCCCCUCCUCCUCCUCCUCCUCAGGCACCCUCCCUAGGGCAGUGGGGACUGUCCUUAACCAUCCUGGGGGUGAUGGUGGCUACCUCUGCAAAAGGAUUUCUCCUUUCAGUGAGUGGGUGUCUCUCAUGUCACUGUUGAGACACCCAGGAGCCUGGGAGGGAAACCUGUGGGAAGGAACUGCCAGCCUCCUUCUGGGAACCAGGUGACCCCAGGAUCACGGCUCAGGUGGAUCCAGCCCUCGAAACCCUGUGAGGAGCUCUGUGGAGCCUCGCUCAGAAAGGGGGGCUGGGAAGAAGCAGCUGCCAGCCCACAGCCCAAGCCUGCAGGGGCCACAAGUGUGGCCACUGGAGCAGAGGGAGGUGCCUUUUGUGGAGCAGCAACCCUGGGUCUGGCUGCACCUGCCACUUAAGAACCCUGAUGGGGCGCUGUUCUCACUGCUGUGUGGACGCAUAGAGCCUCCGGGGGCCAAGGAGCCUCUGGGGCCAGGCAGCAGGUGAGGCAUGGCCUGUAAUGCACACAGGUGUUGCUGGGUCUGCCCCCACCUUCACCCCCGCUCACCCAGCCCCACAGAGCCUGGCAUGGCCUCCCAGGAAGUGACAUGGCGGGGAACAGGCUUAGGGUUAGGGGGAGGCUGUGCGAAGGCUGGCAUGCAGGUGAGAGGGCUUCUGAAGAGAAAGCAUGCUGGAAAAGUGCUUCGGCUCAGCCCCACCCAAACUCAAAUCCAGGGGAAGCCAGGCCAGCAAGACCUGCAGGUGCCAUGCCUUGGCAGGUGCCAGGCAACAGGAUCGUGCCUCGGUGGUGACGUGGGAGAUGCUGGAACCGGGGAGGUGAGAGGGAGUAAGUUUCCAGAACUCACUCUCAGGCAGGAGGAGAUCAUGACUCAGCUGAGCCAGAAAGCGCUCGUUCCACACGAAUGCACGUAUGAGCGAGGCACGCCAGGCGAGUGUGGGAGUGAGGGGAUGGAUGGGCGGUUGGCUGGAGGUCGUGAGGUCUGGGCCGCCUGGAAAGGCUGUUGAGGGGCGGGGGCAGCUGGGAGAGGCUGUGGGGGCAGCAGAAGGGGGUGCUUAGCCGCAGAGAGGGCACGUGGGGAAAGGCCAUGUGUUCAAGGCCCCAAAAGGUGGGGAGGGCAGCCCAGGAGUGCACCGCAGGGGGUGCAAGCGUGUGGGUGGGUGAGACUGAUGCGUGUGUGCCUGUGUGAUUGUGAGCACAUGUGAACGUGUGGAUGCAGGUGGUAGUCGUGAGUGUGCUUGUGUGAGCAUGUGACUGAGGGAGCAUGUGGGUGUGUGGAUGAGCGUGACUGUGGGGAUGACUGUGUGUGCAUGCAUGAGCACACAGGUGUGUGGAUGAGCGUGACCGUGGGAAUGACUGUGUGUGUGUGCAUACAUGAGCACACAGGCGUAUGGAUGAGCGUGCAAGUGAGUCAUGUGAGUGUGGCUGAGUGUGAGCACGCAUGAGCUUGUGGGUGUGCAAGGGAGGUGGGGAGGCCACACGGAAUGAAAGCCUGGGGGCUGCAGCCGAUUCAGGGCCAGGCCGCCAUGGCGCAUAUGGGUGUCCAGGGGCUGGACCCCGAGAAGCUGAGAGCCAGUGCUGGAGAAGCUCCCCAAGGGGAAAGGGGCAUCCUCAGGCUUCGGUGUCUUCAGGGUCUCAGGGUGGCCCCGAAGGCCGACCGCAGUCCCACUGGGGCGCAGAGGCUGCUCUGGGCUUGGCUCUGCUAGACAGACCCCAUUUCCUCAGUGAACCCCGCUUCUGGGUCCAUGUUCCCCUUGACCCUGAACGCUUUCAGCUGCCCAGGAAAUACCUCCUUAUGGCUGGGAUGUUGCUCCACACGCGGACAGCAUUCUGCAAGGAUCCGCCGUGGACAUCUGGGAUGGUGACUGGCUCCAUCUGGGGGCGGGAGGGUCGGCCGUGGGUCAGGGGACCUGGACGGUAAGCGCCCCCCACAGGCCCACUGGCCUCAGCCGCCAAUGGCCCUGAGUGGUCAAUGGACUUUCUAGCCCGACUGUGUUCCCUACGUCCUUUUUUCUUAUGAAUCACCUUUGGAGAAAAAUGCUGAUGAAUUAUUUUAAACUGACAGAACAGACUCUGUGGCAAUAAGAUAUCAAAUUACAAACAGGACCUCAGGCCGCGCCAGGCAAGGGUCGAGCCGAGCCGCGUGCCCUACACUGAGAGGACGGACUCUGCCCUCACGCCACAGCUGCUGCUUUUUCUGCAGCGGCUAAACACGCACUGGCCCCGCGAUGAGGAUGAGCAAGGUUCAAAUGACUGCAGCUCAUCCACCUGCAGAUGCCAACUGACCACGUUCCACAGCCAUGACCACAGCUCUGACUGGGCAGGAGACUGACUUCAGGAACCUCCUCCUGAUAAGGGACCCCGACCACAGACUGGCUCCGGCCGGUUUACAGAGGUUGUGCGCUUGAGGGCCUGUGUCCUGAGAAGACCUCUGAGGUUUAGGGCCUCAUUGCGACACACUGACAUGAUAAGACUCCACCCCGGAGUGAACAGAGGUCGUAAGUUCCACGGAUUUUGUUCAGUACGCACGCAGCAGGACCCCCUUCAUGAAUAUUCACCGCUCCUCCAUAACCUGCCGCACAGGUUUAGCCAACCCGGUCAGCACGGAGCUCCUGCCCCAGCCACCCCUCCCCUUCGAAGUGCCUCCUCCUGGCUCCUCUGGUCUUGGUGGAGGCCCCGUGCUUCCCAGCCUGGGGGACGGGACCUUGCAGGCUGUGCCCCUUUACAGAAACAAAGUCUCCUGUUCUAAAAGCACAGACUUUGUGAUUUUCAGCUCAUGGCGUUUGCUCCCCUUCUGAAUAGCUGGAUUUGCAUUCCAGCCACUCCACGAGAUUCCAGCACCAAAGGAACCUCAACGCCACCUGGACCCCCAGCAAAGGCUCUGGCCCACAGGUGCUGCCCACUCGGUGGGUCGGGCCCCCGCUGGCUGUGGCCCCUCCAUGGAACCUGAGAGCAUGAGGAAAUUCCCCCUCCUGAGCCUCACGCCUGUCUCCUGUGGCUGAGGUGUGGCCGUCCCUCCCCAACCCUGGAAGUGUCUGGAACACCCGGCCCAUCAGCCCCAGAGGGGACCCAUCCGCUGAGUCCAAAAGUGGCUGCUCUGACAAUCAGGAUUCAGACGUGUGAAGAAAAGGCUGUAUGUGUGUGGUGUGAGUAUGUGUGCACGUAGUGUGCCUGUGUGUGUGUGGCAAGUGUGUCCCUGUGUGUGGUGCAUGUGUACAGUGACUGUGCACUGCAGUGUGUGUGCACCUGUGUGUGUGGUGUGAUGUGCGUGUGUGUGGGUGGAGACUGAGGGGGCAGGGGCAGGAGGUGAGCCCCCGAGGCCGUGUUCUGUGAGCACAGGAGUGGUGCGAGGUGGGACUGCCCUCCCAUGCUGUCCUUGAAGGGGCUUUGUGUCCCAGGCCGCAGUCCCUGCCCGGACUGCACAGCAGCUCUCCUGGGCCCUGUACACACCUGGAAACCAGGGGCCGCAAGGAGCCAGGCCCGGAGCCUGGGGUGUAGACUGAGCUCCACCAGAAAAGCCCCUCCCUCACGUGGGCAGGGGUCAGAGGGCGGCCCACGCAGCCCUGCACGCACCUCCAGGAAGCGAGAUGCGACGUCCAGGUCUUCCUUGUUCAGCACCAGAUUGUCCACGAACAUCCAGAAGAAGGGCCUGGGGCUGCCUGGCUUGGGCCGUGCGUACUGCAGGAGCCGGUGGAACUGGAACAGCUGGGCAGGGGCCUAAGGAAACUGGGGCUUGAGAGAAGGGCUGAGGGGGUCGAGGGGACGCACCGGCCUGGGUCUGAGGGAUCCCCCUGCCCCUGUCCCUCCAGCAGCAAUGAAGCCCUGCCCAGUGCUGGGGCCACAGAGGUGCAUGGACCCCUCCUCCCCCAGGCAGGCCUAGAGUGGGGAAGAGACAGACAGGCAACCCCGAGGGAGGAGCUGACGCAGAGCGCGUGCCGCGGCACAAAUACCGCCUUUUAGAGGAAGCUCCAGAGGACACGUGAGCUGCAGUGAUGUGGGCACGCUGGGGGCUGCAUGGGGUCAGCGGGAGGCUUGGGGGCACAGGGAAGCCUGCAGUGAUGGGGACUCUUACUCUGUUGCUCUCUUACUCUGAUGAGGGGUGCAUGGGUGUGGAGCUAGCUCAGAACUCAUCCAGUCGGACACACUGAAUGCGUGCAACUUACUGUAUGUCAGUGGUGCCUCGAUAAAGCUGUUUUUGAAAAAUGCUGACAAUUUGCAGUUUCUGCCCUGGCAUGGAGGUGUGAGGAGAGAGGAGAGGAGACAGGGGUGGUGGGGACAGGCUGCCAGAACUGAAGCAUCACUCACUGGGAGGACGGUCACAGGUGUGGCCCAGGGGAGGUGUGGCGCCGUACACAAGAUCGAAGGGUCCCCACUCCUCCACCUGCAGGACAGAGGGGAGUGGGCACUGAGAGGCAGCAGCAGUGGGCAAGGUCGCGUGCGGCAGCACGAGAUGACCCCAGGGCAGACCCUGCUCAGCUCGCAGGGCCCACAGGCCAGGGCAAGCUGAGGAGUGGAGCCCACUAGGGCAGAGCCAUCCACAGCCACCACCAGCCUCAGGGGCUGCCUGCCUGGAGCCCAGAGGAGAAAGCUCCGGGUCUGAGGUGAAGACUCUGUGCCAUGCAUUUGGGGACUGAAUUCUGCCUUUAUUUUUUCUUGCUCAAAUUCCUUUCUAAGGAGCGUAGGGGAAUCACGCCUUACAAACCACAAAAGCUUGUGGAAUGGGUGUUUUUGACCUGGUAUAUUGUGACUCUGCCAUGGCACCACAUGACAGACAGCAGACCUCCUUAUUUUAACUCAAGCAUUCCUUUCUACUGACUCCCAGUUUUUAGGCAAAGCUCAACUCUUUCAACCAACUGCCAACUAAAGAAUCCCUAAACCCACCUAUAACCUGUAAGCUUCAAGAUAUCUCGCCUUUUGGGGCUGAUCCAAUGCACAUCUUCUAUGUAUUGAUUUAUUGAUUGAUUGAUUUUUUGAGAUGGGGUCUCACUCUGUCACCCAGGCUGUAGUGCAAUGGCGAGAUCUCGGCUCACUGCAACCUCUACCUCCUGGGCUCAAGCAAUCCUCCUGCCUCAGCCCCCUGAGCAACCCCAGGUGCACAUCACCAUGACUAGCCAACUUUUUUGUAUUUUUGGUAGAGAUGGGGUUUCACCAAGUUGCUCAAACUGGUCUUGAACUCCUCAGCUCAAAGUGCUGGGAUUACAGGCGUGAGCCACCGCGCCCGGCCCGUGUACUGUUUUCUGAUUCCACCUGCAGUUCGCAUCUCCCUGAAAUGUACAAAACCAAUUGUGCUGGGAGUGGUGGCUCACGCCUGUAAUCCCAGCACUUUGGGAGGCAGAGGCGGGCGGAUCACGAGGUCAGGAGAUUGAGACCAUCCUGGCUAACACGGUGAAACCCCGUCUCUACUAAAAAUAUAAAAAAAUUAGCCAGGCAUGGUGGCGGGCGCCUGUAGUCCCAGCUACUCGGGAGGCUGAGGCAGGAGAAUGGCAGGAACGCGGGAGGCGGAGCUUGCGGUGAGCCGAGAUCACGCCACUGCACUCCAGCCUGGGCGACAGAGCAAGCCUCCGUCUCAAAAACAAAUAAAUAAAUAAAUAAAAUAAAAAUAAAUAAAUACAUAAAACCAAAUUGUAACUGACCGCCUCAGGUGCACUUCCUCGGGAUCUCUUAAGACUGUAUUUCCCAGGCCAUGGUCACUCUUAUUGGCUCAGAAUAAACCUAUUUAAAAACUUUGGCAGAAUUUGGUUUUUCUGUCUGUCCUCACAUUGCCCUUAGAGAACCAGUCCUGGGAGGCCCAACAUGCAGACUACCUAGGGAAGUAACUGUCAUCUGUGAACACAGCAGGUGCCGUCCGCAGCCCUCCAGGAGCUAACAGCAAGGGCAGAGCCUUCCCUGCUGAACAGAAACAGCCCCCACAGAGUAGCUCCCUGGGGACCACAGAGUAGGUCCCCACAGGCUAUUCCAUGGCCGAGCUGGAAGAAGACAAAACACAGCCACCCAACAAUCUUGCCUGAACACAUGCCCUUCAGUCACAAAAAGUGACCAAGGGGAGGCUGUGAGCAACACUGGCUUCAUUAACAGUGAUGGCCCUCACUCUGUCAUUCUUAUUAAAUAAAAAUUAACAGCUGGACGUGGUGGCUAACACCUGUAAUCCCAGCACUUUAGGAGGCCAAGGCGGGUGGAUCACCUGAGAUCAGGAGUUCAAGACCAGCCUGGCCAAUAUGGUGAAACCCCGUCUCUACUAAAAAAUACAAAAAAUUAGCUGGGCAUGGUGGCGGGUGCCUGUAAUACCAGCUGCUUGGGAGGCUGAGGCAGGAGACUCGCCUGAACCCUGGAGGCGGAGGUUGCAGUGAGCCCAGAUUGUGCCACUACACUCUAGCCUGGGCAACAGAGUGAGACUCCAUCUCAAAAACAAAAAACAAAAAAGCCCCCCAAAACUUAAGAUAGUCAAGUAUCAGAACCCCGUCUCCUGAUAGCACCAGUCAACAAUGGACUCCACUUCCCUGGACCCCCUCAAAUCACAUAACAGCCCGAAUCCCAUUAGCCCCAAACUCCUCAUGCCUCCGGGGCAUCAUUUUGUGUCCUUCCACGAUGUAGCAAGUGGAUAAACCUAACUGUUGAUGGCAGGUGCAACCUGAGGGUCUCCGAGUGCCGAAAAGGCAUGGUGGGGUGGGGACAGCGGAGGUGAGGGGGGGCUGCUGGUCCCAGGCCGGGAGCCCCCAAAAGACCUGUACACAGGUGGCUGCUCAUGCUUCUCUCACAGUGGCAUGGGAAGGCACCAAGGCAGCGGGGAAUCUGGCCUACAGGGGGAACGCACGACUGGAGCUGUGUCACCUCCUUCCAGCAGCGGGAGGAUGCUUUCAAACAGUGACCAGUUGUCCAGGUCAAGGCUCGGCCUCCUCAUUUUAGAGGGUGGAGUGGGGGUUCAGCCCCUCCUUGCCGGACAGCGCCCCAUCACAGGCAGUGGAAUUUGGCUACUUAGAUUUCAAGAUGUUGGACAAGAUGUUUGCCCAACUGCCCUGCUCUGAGCUCUGGGCUCUGGGCUCUGGGCAAUGCUGGGACCACCAAAACGUGCUGCUCAGCCCUCCGCUGCGGGGCAUCACAGUGGUGGCUGGGCCGGCGGGGUUGGGCUGACUCCUGUCAGACCCAGGAUCCCCACCAGGCUGCCGAGAGGCCCCCGUGUGUUCAGGACUCCUCCCAGCCCCUGCUGCCGCCUCCUUGCCCGCCUCAUCCUUGGCAUUUCCUCUGAGGAAGCUCGCACCCCCGCUCCCACUACAGUGUCUGAGAGUUCACGGCGGUACUCACAUCCUUCCUCACUGUGUCUGUGACAUCAACCACAUGCUUCAGUUGUCCCGGGUCAGAACCACUUUCCAAAAAGCCCAAACUCGUCAGCUCUGGAUGGGGAGAGACCAGAAGGGCCCAGAGGGUGAGCGUGGAUUGUGCCCCUACAGGGACUCGAAAAGGCUGACGGACGAUCAGAGGACCCUCCUACCAUUAAGGAGCCAACUGUAUAUUUUUGUUGUUGUUGUUUUGAGAUGGAGUCUCCCUCUGUCGCCCAGGCUGGAGCGCAGUGGCGUGAUCUUGGCUCACUGCAACCUCCGCCUCCCAGGUUCAAGCGGUUCCCCUGCCUCAACCUCCCGAGUAGCUGGGACUACAGGCAUGUGCCACCACGCCCGGCUAAUUUUUUUGUAUUUUUAGUAGACACAGGGUUUCACCAUGUUGGCCAGGCUGGUCUCCAACUCCUGACCUCAAAUGUUCCGCCCACUUCAGCCUCCCAAAUUGUUGGGAUUACACGUGUGAGCCACUGCACCCCGCCCAACUUUAUCUUUUUAAUGACGUGGCAGGAGGAUUAAGGAUGGAGGUUUUUGUCUCACAACAAGCUAAACAAGCAAACAUUGCCAAGUAUUGAUUUAAGAAUGUCAAGCACGGCCGGGCACAGACGCUCAAGCCUGUAAUUCCAGCAUUUUGGGAGUCCAAGGCGGAUGGAUCACCUGAGGUCAGGAGUUCAAGACCAGCCUGGCCAACAUGGUGAAACCCUGUCUCUACUAAAAACACAAAAAUUAGCUGGGCGUGGUGGUGAGCACCUGUAAUCCCAGCUGCUCGGGAGGCUGAGGCAGGAGAAUUGGUUGAACCCGGGGGGCAGAGGUGCAGCGAGCCGAGAUCAAGCCUGGGCAACAGAGCGAGACUCCGCCUCAAAAAAAAAAAGGAUGUCAAGGACUGUAUUACAGCACCAGGCAUUUCUGGGAUGCGAUGUCACCUCUGGCUAGGAAAUCCACAGAGCAGUGGAGUCCACUCCACUCUGCAGCUGGUGUGAGCUGCAGAGCCCUGGAACGGCCCUGGAGGAGGCCCUGGCUUUCUCAGCCCCUCCUGGGCAGCAAGACCUUGGACAGGCUGUGCAGGCGCUGCGGGAUCAGGCUCCUGAUCGGCUGCAUGGGGCAGAUAUGUGCUCCCGCAUGAGGCCGCUCUGAGACACUUGUGGGCCUUAGUGGGUGUCCCAGCGGGACACAUCCCUAACGGCCAGAGGAGAGGGAGUGUCUUCAUGGAUUUGGCUGUGCCUGCGGGGCCCAGAAGACAAGUGCCAUUUCCAAAGGCCCCAGUGCAGGGUUAGCAUGGGCCCAGGGUGGGGAAGGGUACAGGACAUCAGCAGUUGGCCGGUCUAGGGGAGGGGGUGGGGAGUCCCGGGGGGUGGCCUGAGGGGCAGUCAGGUGUUUAGAGGCAUCUUUCCAUGUGUGUCUUUGGGACAUCACUGACUCACCUUUCUUGAUGUCUUCAAAAAGGGACAGCACCCGGACUGGCUGUCUCCUCCACACAGGCACGGUUUCGAACAUCUCAAGGGGAUUCUCCUAUUUAUUAAAAAACCAAAACAGGACAUUGUGCCGGCUACUUGGCUACAGAGCCCUUGAGUUACAAUGAAAAUUCUUCCCUGGAUGAACACUCACUCGAGACUCACCGGAGACACACAUAAGACACACCUGCUGAGGCUGACUGGGCCUGUCCUGACCAGCACUGCCCCCCCAGGAAGGCCAACUCCACCCCCUGCUCCAGCCUCAGUCUCCCGCUCUGACCUGUCUCCAGCCGAGAGACAGUAGGUGUGGAGGGGUUUGCUGAUUUUUUUUUUUUUUUUUUUUUUGAGAUGGAGUCUUGCUCUGUCACCCAGGCUGGAGUGCAAUGGUGCAAUCUUGGCUCACUGCAACUUUCCGCCUCCCGGGUUCAAGCGAUUCUCCUGCUUCACCCUCCCGAGUAGCUGGGAUCACAGGCACCCGCCACCACGCCCGGCUAAUUUUUGUAUUUUUAGUAGAGACAGUUUCACCAUAUUGGCCAGGCUGGUCUUGCUCAUCCUGGCAGCUUCCAGAACCUCGGAGAAGAGAGCCCCAAGGCCAGAGAUGCCGGGGAGAGGUGAGCCUCGGGGCAGGUGAGGCCUGUGGUUUUCCCUGACCCUGCCAACCUGAUGGGCUAGGCGGGCAGCCAGCUCCAGCCUCACAUGCUCCCUGUUAAAGGGCCAACCCCCAAGGCCCAAAACUCGGGGGCCUCGGCUUUCAGAGUGCUAGGCUCUGUUCCUAUAAAAUACCUUCCCAUCUGACCCUUUCCUUCGAAUUGGAGCAGGCUGAAGCUUGCUAGGCAGGGAGAGAUGACUUCGUUCAACCUUAACAAAUGUGAGCUGGAGGCCAGUGCAGUUUCAUGGUCAGCUCAGGGGUCCCUUGCUCCCCGCUGGCUGCCUCACCGGGGGCCACACCCCUUCUGUAGGAGCUUCCCGUGGCUGGCCUGCAAAUUAAAACAGACUGGAGGGGCUGGGCCCGGUGGCUCAUGCCUGUCAUCCCAGCAUUUUGGGAGGCUGAGGCAGGUGGAUCACUUGAGGUCAGGAGUUCAAGACCAGCCUGGCCAACAUGGUGAAACCCUGUCUCUACUAAAAGUACAGAAUUAGCCGGGUGUGGCGGUCGGUGCCUGUAAUCCCAGGUACUCAGGAGGCAGGAAGGAGAAUCGCUUGAACCCGGGAGGCCGAGGUUGCAGUGAGCCAAGAGGGUGCCAUUGCACUCCAGCCUGGGCAGCAAGAGCAAAACUCCAUCUCAAAAAUAAAAAAAUAAAAAACAAGGCCGGUGCGGUGGCUCACGCCUGUAAUCCCAGCACUUUGGGAGGCCGAGGCGGGCGGAUCACGAGGUCAGGAGAUCGAGACCAUCCCGGCUAAAACUGUGAAACCCC
rnacentral:lncRNA from 1 species